rnacentral:rRNA from 1 species
UACGUAGGUGGCAAGCGUUGUCCGGAUUUACUGGGCGUAAAGGGAGCGUAGGCGGACUUUUAAGUGAGAUGUGAAAUACCCGGGCUCAACUUGGGUGCUGCAUUUCAAACUGGCAGGCUCGAGGACAGGAGAGGGAAGUGGAAUUCCCGGUGUAGCGGUGGAAUGCGUAGAUAUCGGGAGGAACACCAGUGGCGAAGGCGGCUUCCUGGACUGUACCUGACGCUGAGGCGCGAAAGCUAGGGGAGCAAAACAGGAUUAGAUACCCCCCGUAGUCCCUGA